UACGUAGGGGGCAAGCGUUGUCCGGAUUUAUUGGGCGUAAAGAGCGUGUAGGCGGCCAUGCAGGUCCGCUGUGAAAACUGGAGGCUUAACCUCCAGACGUCGGUGGAAACCGCAUGGCUAGAGUCCGGAAGAGGAGAGUGGAAUUCCCGGUGUAGCGGUGAAAUGCGCAGAUAUCGGGAAGAACACCCGUGGCGAAGGCGGCUCUCUGGGACGGUACUGACGCUGAGAC
rnacentral:rRNA from 1 species